AGCGAACGCUGGCGGCAGGCUUAACACAUGCAAGUCGAACGGGCAUCUUCGGAUGUCAGUGGCAGACGGGUGAGUAACACGUGGGAACGUACCCUUCGGUUCGGAAUAACUCAGGGAAACUUGAGCUAAUACCGGAUACGCCCUUUUGGGGAAAGGUUUACUGCCGAAGGAUCGGCCCGCGUCUGAUUAGCUUGUUGGUGGGGUAACGGCCUACCAAGGCGACGAUCAGUAGCUGGUCUGAGAGGAUGAUCAGCCACACUGGGACUGAGACACGGCCCAGACUCCUACGGGAGGCAGCAGUGGGGGAUAUUGGACAAUGGGCGCAAGCCUGAUCCAGCCAUGCCGCGUGAGUGAUGAAGGCCUUAGGGUUGUAAAGCUCUUUUGUCCGGGACGAUAAUGACGGUACCGGAAGAAUAAGCCCCGGCUAACUUCGUG
rnacentral:rRNA from 1 species